rnacentral:lncRNA from 1 species
CUCUCAAUCUGUGGGGAGAUUCUGUGGCGGGUGUGAGGUCACAUGACUAGGGGCUGGUAAUCCCCCACAAUGCACUGCUGCCCAGCUCAGUGACAUGUCACCACCCUGUGGAAUACUACUGACAAACUCACUCACUCACUCACUCAAACACUCUCACAACUCAUGUACUCUCUCACACAGACGCAUAACAGUGCCAUAGAGGAGGAUGCUCAUCAGCCACACAGACAUGACAGAACAACAUAGGAUUCUCCUCUGCCUCCCCAUUCUCUACAUUUGGACUGGGCCAGUACAUGGUGAUGUGUUGGCCUCCCUGGCAGGUGAGAGGGUGGGCUGGACGCUGCUGGUGUGUGUCACCUCUGACCUGAGUAGGGGUCACCUGGAGGUUAACUGGAUGUCACCUGGGGAGGGAAGUGAGUCCUGCCAGUGCUCUCUACAGUGUUGCCGGGGAGGAACAGAACAGUGGCCAUAG